GGAUUGAUGGUGACUUCCAUAUAUACAUUUUUUUGGAAAGGUGAACAAAAUGAGUGAAAACUCAAUACCAUCAUCCUCAUCGACCUGAGGUCU